rnacentral:rRNA from 1 species
AUACGGAGGAUGCAAGCGUUAUCCGGAUUUAUUGGGUUUAAAGGGUGCGUAGGCGGAUGAUUAAGCGUGAGGUGAAAUGCCACUGCUCAACAGUGGAACUGCCUCGCGAACUGGUUGUCUUGAAUGCUCCUGCCGUGGGAGGAAUGUGUGGUGUAGCGGUGAAAUGCAUAGAGAUCACACAGAACACCGAUUGCGAAGGCAUCUCACGAAGGGGUGAUUGACGCUGAGGCAGGAAAGCGUGGGGAUCAAACAGGAUUAGAUACCCUGGUAGUCCACGCAGUAAACGAUGAUAACUAACCGCUGGGUCGUAGUGAUUCAGUGGCCAAGCGAAAGCGAUAAGUUAUCCACCUGGGGAGUACGACCGCAAGGUUGAAACUCAAAUGAAUUGACGGGG